GAUUGAAGCAGACCCCGUGCUCGGCCCUCGCUCAGUCAGUUGUCAUCAUUUUAUAGUCCCACUUGAGGGGGAAAUGGAAACUCCUUCGUGGGGGGUCAUCUAAGUAAAAAAGCCGGGAGUUCAGUUCGCUGCCUGAGGUGACUAGAAACUUGCUGGGAUGAAGUCAUGUGAGCUGAACCGAUUGGCCCGAAUCCUUAAGGAGGGGGAGUGUCGGGGCGCGCGGCUCCCUCGGAGAGGCUGAGAUAUUUUCAGAUGAGCCUCUACUUCUUUCAGAAGCAGAAAAAGAGUUAAAACACAACAGUGUAAAAAAUGUGGUAAAUAAGUAACACCAGUUCUUAACAUUUUGAGGAGCCAGUUCCAAAAGCUUGUGUUUCAUGAUGGCAAGUAUAAAAUUACUCUAAAACAUCGCUAUUGAUAUGAAAACCAGAA